GACGAACGCUGGCGGCGUGCCUAAUACAUGCAAGUAGAACGCACAGUUUAUACCGUAGCUUGCUACACCAUAAACUGUGAGUUGCGAACGGGUGAGUAACGCGUAGGUAACCUGCCUGGUAGCGGGGGAUAACUAUUGGAAACGAUAGCUAAUACCGCAUAAUAUUGAUUAUUGCAUGAUAAUUGAUUGAAAGAUGCUAUUGCAUCACUACCAGAUGGACCUGCGUUGUAUUAGCUAGUAGGUGAGGUAACGGCUCACCUAGGCGACGAUACAUAGCCGACCUGAGAGGGUGAUCGGCCACACUGGGACUGAGACACGGCCCAGACUCCUACGGGAGGCAGCAGUAGGGAAUCUUCGGCAAUGGACGAAAGUCUGACCGAGCAACGCCGCGUGAGUGAAGAAGGGUUUCGGAUCGUAAAGCUCUGUUGUAAGAGAAGAACGGGUGUGAGAGUGGAAAGUUCACACUGUGACGGUAUCUGACCAGAAAGGGACGGCUAACUACGUG
rnacentral:rRNA from 1 species